AUAGGAAAGAAAAUGCUGGACAGAUAGAAGCUUCUGGCCACAGUGUCCCAACGUGGGACCAUGAUAAUUAAAAGGAAGCAUUGGCAGGCACCCCGAAGCAGGCUCCCGAGGAGAGAUCUUAGACAGCUGCCCUGUGGUUCUGGGGCAAGUGUGGUCCCUGGAGAAGCUGAAGCUGGAGUGCCAACUCACUGGCAGCAUGGCUAUGGCAGGGAGUCAGCUCUGUGGUUUCUUCUCUUCUGAAUGCCAAACCAUCACUGCAAAAUGUCAGUCUGCCACUUACUAGCUGUGUGACCUUGGGCAAGUUACUUAACCUUUCUGAGCCGCAGGGGAUAUGAAAAUCAGUCAUCCGGAAUGUACAACCAAAGCUGUCUGCCACCGUGUCUGAGCUUGUGAGACCCAGAGAAGGAGUCAGGGUUUCAACUGGGCCCCAACUAGCACGUGACGCUGGACAAGUGGCGCAGGUGACAUCUCAGCUUCUCCACCUACAAACCCAGCGCAAGCCCAUCUCUCUGCCUCCCCAAGUAAGACGACGCAGAUGGAACCGUUUCAGGUCUUUCAGUACUUAAGGUGUCAUGUUAUUCAUUUCCCCCAGUCAUUUGUUUCCGGGUCUUGAAGGAAAAUCUCACAAAAAGGGGAAUUUUAAUUAUUACCAAUUCACUGAGCUCUCAGCAUAGCCUGAGAAAAUCGUGACUUGUUUCACUUCUCAAGGGGCUUUCCUGGCAAGGGAGGUGUCCCUAGUGAUUCCACACCCUCGUCUCUGGAGAGGAAAAACAAUCACUUCUACCACAGCCAUGGUAUUGGACAAACCAUUCAUUGAAACAGCACCAUGUUGAGUGAAAGUCAAAUAACGCAAAUGACCACCGUGCUUCGUUUGAAUGCACCAGCCCUGGGUUUUGACCAAUGAUAGACACACUGCAAGCCUUUGUGAUUUGUCAAGAAUAAAUUCCAAGCUUUUCAUUUCAAC